AUUGAACGCUGGCGGCAGGCCUAACACAUGCAAGUCGAGCGGCAGCGGGAAAGUAGCUUGCUACUUUUGCCGGCGAGCGGCGGACGGGUGAGUAAUGCCUGGGAAAUUGCCCAGUCGAGGGGGAUAACAGUUGGAAACGACUGCUAAUACCGCAUACGCCAUACGGGGGAAAGCAGGGGACCUUCGGGCCUUGCGCGAUUGGAUAUGCCCAGGUGGGAUUAGCUAGUUUGUGAGGUAAUGGCUCACCAAGGCGACGAUCCCUAGCUGGUCUGAGAGGAUGAUCAGCCACACUGGAACUGAGACACGGUCCAGACUCCUACGGGAGGCAGCAGUGGGGAAUAUUGCACAAUGGGGGAAACCCUGAUGCAGCCAUGCCGCGUGUGUGAAGAAGGCCUUCGGGUUGUAAAGCACUUUCAGCGAGGAGGAAAGGUCAGUAGCUAAUAUCUGCUGGCUGUGACGUUACUCGCAGAAGAAGCACCGGCUAACUCCGUGCCAGCAGCCGCGGUAACAC
rnacentral:rRNA from 1 species